rnacentral:rRNA from 1 species
UGGGGAAUAUUGGACAAUGGGCGAAAGCCUGAUCCAGCCAUGCCGCGCGUGUGAAGAAGGUCUUCGGAUUGUAAAGCACUUUAAGUUGGGAGGAAGGGCAGUUACCUAAUACGUGAUUGUUUUGACGUUACCGACAGAAUAAGCACCGGCUAACUCUGUGCCAGCAGCCGCGGUAAUACAGAGGGUGCAAGCGUUAAUCGGAAUUACUGGGCGUAAAGCGCGCGUAGGUGGUUUGUUAAGUUGGAUGUGAAAUCCCCGGGCUCAACCUGGGAACUGCAUUCAAAACUGACUGACUAGAGUAUGGUAGAGGGUGGUGGAAUUUCCUGUGUAUCGGUGAAAUGCGUAGAUAUAGGAAGGAACACCAGUGGCGAAGGCGACCACCUGGACUAAUACUGACACUGAGGUGCGAAAGCGUGGGGAGCAAACA